GACGAACGCUGGCGGCGUGCUUAACACAUGCAAGUCGAACGGAAAGGCCCUGCUUUUGUGGGGUGCUCGAGUGGCGAACGGGUGAGUAACACGUGAGUAACCUGCCCUUGACUUUGGGAUAACUUCAGGAAACUGGGGCUAAUACCGCAUAGGAGCUCCUGCUGCAUGGUGGGGGUUGGAAAGUUUCGGCGGUUGGGGAUGGAUUGGCUGCUUAUGAGCUGGUUGGGGGAGUAGGGACUUACCAAGGUUUUGACGGGUAGCCUGCCUGGGAGGGGGACCGGGGACAUUGGGACUGAGGUACGGCGCAGUAGGGUACGGGAGGCAGCAGGGGAAAAUAUGGCACAAUGGGGGGAAGUGUGUGGCAGAAACGCCCCGUGCGGGAUGACGGCCUUCGGGUGGUAAACCGCUUUCGCCUGUGACGAAGCGUGAGUGACGGUAAUGGGUAAAGAAGCAACGGCUAACUACGUG
rnacentral:rRNA from 1 species